AGUGGCGGACGGGUGAGUAACGCGUGAGUAACCUAGCCCUUAGGAAAGGGAGUAGCGUCUGGAAACGGACGGUAAUACAUAUAAGUAUAUUAACGGCAUCGUAGAUAUACCAAAGCUGAGGCGCCUAAGGAUGGACUCGCGUCUGAUUAGAUAGUUGGUGGGGUAACGGCCUACCAAGUCGACGAUCAGUAGCCGGACUGAGAGGUUGAACGGCCACAUUGGGACUGAGACACGGCCCAGACUCCUACGGGAGGCAGCAG
rnacentral:rRNA from 1 species